rnacentral:pre_miRNA from 1 species
GAUCUACUCCCUCCAUCUGAAAAAACUUGUCCCAAGCUUGUUCAUCAAAUGGAUGUAUCUAGUAUUAACUUAAUGUUAGAUACAUUCAUAUGAGGGAUACAUUUUUUCGGACGGAGGUUGUACCAA